UGACAUGGGGUAAAUUGGGAUCCUGGGGUAAAUUGGGACAAACCUGCGGAAGAUUCUCAAAGUACCUGUAGCACGGAAUCUACCUAAUUUUGUUUAUGUUAAUAUUUAUCAAUGUAUAGAAGAAAAACCAAGUUAACUAUGGAAGUACUAAAUAUGAGUUAAGUUGGUCCCAAAAAUUCGUCAAAUUAAAUUGAAAAUAGUGGUUGAAAAGUGCGUUUUAAAACAGCUUAAAGAACUUUUAAAAAAAGUAAUAUUAUCGUUGUUUUUUCAAUAAGAUCACAGUUUAUAUAAGUUUUUAAUACACCUGGAAAUACCACAACAAACGAAUCUAUUCACGCGUCGAAUCAUGAUUUUGUUAACAUUCAAAACGCACACACAAAUAAAAACAGGCCUCAGAUUUUAAAUGUAACGUUAAUUAAAAAUCCGAGAUAUCCAAUUAUGAGUGAGUGAAUUAAUUGAGUUUAGUUAUUUAGCUUAGAAAGAAUUUCUUUUAUUUUUGUUAUUAUUGGCAGUAAUCAGAUAAAGUUGUUUUUUUAUCUUAUUCACCUGAUAUCUUACUCUUGCUCAAAGAUUAUUUUGAAAAUGUUGAUUAAAUAAAAUUGUAUUAUUGCA